UUUUUUUUUUUCUCGGCUGCUGCUCAUGCUUUUAUUGCCUCCUUCCUGUUUUCCUCUUCCUCCUCCCUGAGUUUUGCUGUGUAACUCAGGCUGAUCUGGGACAUCCCUGCACUGCAGCCUCCCAACUACUGAGAUUACAAGCUUUGGACUUCGCAACUUUCCUAACAAGGGUCUUCUUUCUCCUGAGAGGACAGAAUGGUCCAGUGGUUGGAAUCACCUUGACACUUGGAUAUAUGCCUUUUCCGGGGAUCCUGUGAUGCCACACAGCUGUGAAGCCUGAGCUUAAAGGUCCUUCAACUGCUUUGCUGCAUGGACCUGGUCAGAAAAAAACUACUAGUCUCCAGGUCCAGGCCUUAAGAUACUGAUAGCUUCUGCUUAUCUCUCAGAUGACUUCCUCUGUGGGAAAGUUGGGAAGUUACACCUUCCUGAGGAAAUGAUUAAGGCAUUGGAGAGACUGAGAAAGCCAUUUGAGGUCACAGCCUGAACAAGAGGGAACAUAUCACCCAGGGAUAGAGGAAGUACACGGAGACAUUCAACUGACACACCAAUCUGAAAGAAGCAAGGGUUUGGAUAUCCACUGGAACGCUUCUUCCAAGGUCCCUCAUCCUCCUCUUGGGCUGUGAGAAGCUCCCUCUUUUCUUAGAGGUGCUGUGGAGGCAGGUGCUUAUGGUUGAUGGAUCGUCCCCUGCUACACCGCAUGGGAGAAAGGACGGCAACUCACAUGCCUGUCUCACCGAGUGAUGCCACGCUCUGCAUGAUGCCUGGUACCUGUUCUGAGCUGCAGAGAAGAGUGCAUUCCACUCUCAUACAGGCAGAGCUCCACCUUAUGCUCAUUGUGUUAGAUAGUGAACGACUUGUUAUUUCUUUUAAAAAUACUUAUUCUUUCAUAAUUUCACACCUCUCCAUAGAGAUAAUGCAGUAUGCUUUUAUUAUGUUUCCCUGUUAUCCUCACUCAUAAACCCUUUCCUUCCCACUAAACCAUUUCUUCUUCCCAAAGACCUCUAUCCUAUCUUCAUGAUGUGUGUGUGUGUGUGUGUGUGUGUGUGACUACACCACUGAGAAAUAUGACCUUCCCCCACACAACUGUUACCAAGGGGCAUAUAGAGCCACAGGGAAGGAUGGAACAGCCUCAUGACCCCUUUCCCUACAUGUGUUGGAAUAUGGGUGAAGUUGAUUUCUUUUUAAGAUUUUAUUUUAUUUUAACUAUGCAUACAGGUGGUAUCUGUACACAUGAAUACAGAUGUCAACAGAGGCAGAAAGAGAACAUUGGGUCCCGUGGAGCUGGAGUUACAGGUGGUUGUGAACUUUGAACUCAACUGGGAUCCUCUGGAAGAACAGUGCAUGCUUCCAACUACUGAACCAUCUUUUUAGCUCCAAGAUCAGGACUUUCUUAAAAGCAACUUCUGCUGGGCAUCAGGCCUCUGUCAGUCCUCCAGAAUCUAAUGAGUGCUGCACUGGUGUGCUUGCCUACCGCAGCCUGUGUCAUUAGGAAGACUGCUUAGCUCAGCUGCAGAAGAAUCCUAGUCCUCAGCACCUUUGGUGUGAAGCUGGGCCAAGUGGGUUUACCAGGAGUUGUUUCCAGCCAAGUCUCCAUAUGCCUGGUGGGUGGGUGUAGAAACCCGAGCAAGACUUGGCAGGGGAUCUGCAGUGGGAACUGUCACAACCCAAACAGUCACCAUGUACACAGUGCUUCACAUGUCUCUUACAUACGCCUGGAAACUGCAAGACUGUGCAACCCCUAGAAAUAAAUGGCUAUGUUACAGGAAGUGCCCGGGACUCACCGGACAGCUUGCUAUGUAGCAUCUUCUAGGCAUCUGAAAAAUCGCUGAGUAUUUACACUGUCACCUCCAGGGAAACAUACCCAGGCCAGUCUUUCUACUAGUGGACUGAAAUAAAGAUUUUUGGUCAUCUGA